UGGCGGCCUACCAGCCAGUCGAAGCGGAUAGAGAGAAGCUUGCUUUCUCUUGAGAGCGGCGGACGGGUGAGCUAAUGCCUAGGAAUCUGCCUGGUAGUGGGGGAUAACGUUCGGAAACGGACGCUAAUACCGCAUACGUCCUACGGGAGAAAGCAGGGGACCUUCGGGCCUUGCGCUAUCAGAUGAGCCUAGGUCGGAUUAGCUAGUUGGUGAGGUAAUGGCUCACCAAGGCGACGAUCCGUAACUGGUCUGAGAGGAUGAUCAGUCACACUGGAACUGAGACACGGUCCAGACUCCUACGGGAGGCAGCAGUGGGGAAUAUUGGACAAUGGGCGAAAGCCUGAUCCAGCCAUGCCGCGUGUGUGAAGAAGGUCUUCGGAUUGUAAAGCACUUUAAGUUGGGAGGAAGGGUUGUAGAUUAAUACUCUGCAAUUUUGACGUUACCGACAGAAUAAGCACCGGCUAACUCUGUGCCAGCAGCCGCGGUAAUACAGAGGGUGCAAGCGUUAAUCGGAAUUACUGGGCGUAAAGCGCGCGUAGGUGGUUUGUUAAGUUGGAUGUGAAAUCCCCGGGCUCAACCUGGGAACUGCAUUCAAAACUGACAAGCUAGAGUAUGGUAGAGGGUGGUGGAAUUUCCUGUGUAGCGGUGAAAUGCGUAGAUAUAGGAAGGAACACCAGUGGCGAAGGCGACCACCUGGACUGAUACUGACACUGAGGUGCGAAAGCGUGGGGAGCAACAGGAUAAUACCGGGUAGUCCACCCGUAACGAUGUCAACUACCUUGGGAGCCUUGAGCUCUUAGUGGCCACCUAACGCAUAAGUUGACCCCUGGGGAUUCCGCCCAAGGUAAAACUCAAUGAAUUUGACGGGGGCCCCCCCAAGGGGGAACCAUGGUUUUAUUCAACCACCCCGAAAAAAACUUUUACCGGGCCUUUGACUUCCCAAUGGAAUUUUUCCC
rnacentral:rRNA from 1 species